UUGUUACAUUGAUUUGAAUAAUGAGAACAUUUAGAGCCAUGGAGAACUUAAAUGUUUUGGCCAUAUGGAGCUGGUUAAAUACUUCUGAACGCUGGGGGGGGGGGAAGCUAGCUUACACAUGUUGUUUGGUUUUGGCCUGUUUCUAGAUCAGGACUUUUUUUCCUUUGAAUAAUAACACAGUUUAUAAACUUAACUAUGUAUUUUGCCAAAAUUGUCAUGCACACUGGAGAUGGAAAUUGCUUCAGAGGUAGUGGCAACACUCACAAAGCUGUCCUCAGCACCAGAAGCCCACAGCUUGAUUCUCUAUCAAGCUGGAGACCUUGGACUGAAAGUAAGAGUAUCUGCUAGGAGGUAAAGGGCUGUUGGUUCAGAGGUUCAUAAAACUAGACAGGGUGUAGCCACAGGAGAGAAAUGCUCAUGCAAUUAAUGUAUGUUCUAUUUACGUCUUUGAGGAUUAUAGAAACCAACCUGUCUGAUACACGUUGUGGCAUCCUCACCUCUUUGCCAGGGCUUAGUCUUAACCCCAGUGGGUGGGGUCAGUAACAGGCUUGUCAUCCUUGUCUUUACUUACCUGAAAAUACAUCUCCAUAGCUCUUGUACUGACAGCAUCUUCAGAACAUUUAUUGUCAGCAUUCAAACCUGAUUAAAAUGUGCAGCAUUAGAUAUAAAAAAACACCUUAAUAACUCUUAAUGCAGACUACUUCAUAAUAGAGAGGCAAGCCUAUUAAUGUCACGCUGUGCCCAACCCCUCAGAACACUCACUGAUUUAGUAGGGUUUGGAAAGGGCUUGGAGGAAAACACGAGAUCACAAGCUGUAGUAAGAGAAGCUCCAUUUACACUAAAAUUGUUUCAGUUCUGGCAUCCAAGAUACUUUUUUUUUUUCUUUCUUUCCCCCCUUUUAGCCAUUCUCUGUGAAAGAAGAUACAGAUGGAAUUUUGUCAAAACACUUGUUAAAAACUGUUUGAGAGAGUCUUAAGUAGUUUUUAACAUGUUUUAUUGCAUGACAACAUCUCUGUGCUGUAGGCAGAACCAAAGCAGAUGGUUUUACAGACAGAUAGUUGUCCCGUCUCUCAGUAUGCUGUUAUCAGAAGGCACAUUAAGUACUUUUCUCACAACCUGAAGGUGUCUGCCAUUAAAUUUGCUUGUGUCAGCCUUAUGUAUAUGUACAGGUCCCUACAAGACUAGCUAGGAUGUGGAUUUACAGUAUGUCAGAUGACCCACAGUAGCAACCUAUGGACACAGCUGUACCUAGCACUAAGCAGAAGACAUUUACUCCUCAACAAAAACAGGGUCAUAGCAUGCACACAGGCAGUUUCCGCAGAGUAGCUAACGUGCUCUAAAUCCCCACCCAUUCUUGGCUCACUAACUUGUGUGUGUAGCCAUACCCCAAGCAAAAGUGAAUAAAUACACCCAUGAGCUGAGCAGAAAAAUCUCAUCCCACAAACACCAUGUAGUGUAACGCAAUGGCCAGCAAAGAGUGAGGUUAAGAGAGCUAGGUGUUCCAUAGCUCACAGAAAGUUUUUUUUUUCUUGCUGAAAUGAAUUGCUUGUGUUUCGACUACUUUCCUAGUUCGUGAAUUUCCCUUAUUUUUUCGGUUAGCAAUAGCUGUUACCAAAGUUCAUCUGUUUCUUUUUGCACUUUAAUUUAUAGCUUUUGUACUAGUCAUUUUAUUGCUUCAAUCUCUGAGUGAGAGAACUUUUACAACUUGUGAUUACUGAACUCGGAGAAACAAGAAAGCUUUUUGACCUGCCUGGGAGUAAUUACAGACCCCGUUGCUUCUUGGGAGGGGCUUUCAAUGUUUAACAAACUGUGUCAACUCUAAUUUAACCAUGUGGAACCUGGACCAUUGGAUGGGAGUGGGGAAAAAAAAAAAAAAGACUCCAGAAUCUUUCUAGCUCUCAUUUUAACUUGGCUGUUUUAGUCUCCAAAGGGCUGUUCUUGAAGUCCUGCCUUCCCACUACUGAACUUGGUGCUGUUCCUUCCUUAGCAGCAUGAGGGGAUUUGAGCCAAGCCAUUUGCAUAUGAAAAUAAUUUCCCCUUAUUUCAGAAAUUAUAGCUACAUUACUUUUGAUUAAUCCUUUCCUGGGGCAGGUCUUCUGAAUGCCACGCCAUGAAAAUAAGGCUCUUGACAAUAGAGAAAUUGUCCUGUCUUAAAUUACUACUGUUGUUUUGUAUUAUAGGGGCUGUGGUCAGGGACAAAGGUUCAAUUGUGUUCAACAGUGUAAAAACAGAGAAUCAAUAGAUACCCUGUGUUUGAAAGGGUCUGUGAUCUGAAUUACUUGAGGAGUAAAGUUUGGAAUUGGAAAAUGAGAUGAGGAAGAUUUGUUGCAAUUUAUGCAUUUUGCCCACUUACAGGAUUGUAAGCCAGCUAGAGUUUGAAGGCUCCCAGCUGUUCUUAAUACACUCAAACAGCUAUUAUUUAAGAAAUGCUGAACUUGCCUUCAGGAAAAGGAUUAGGACAUUAUUUUGAAAGCACCAAAGUUUUCUUACUUUUGAUGUCCCUAGAUGAAGAGAUAGCUGUAUUUCCUGGAUAGUCAGUUGCUUAGAUCUUUUGUGGUUUUGCGUACUAAUGUGUACACAGACAUUAUGCCAGUGAGGCUAUGUAUUUGUGUUUUCACUAGAUGUGAAUGGAAUAUUUUGAGCUAAUGUGAUUUUUAUAAGAAUGUUUAAGCAAAAUUCUUGAUGUUUUAUUGGUUUAGCAACAUUUUCAUCAAGAAGGUUUUUGAAGUCUCGGGGUUGCUAGGUCAUUCUGAGGGGAAAGAGGAGAAAAACAGAAGCUGAAGAGUUUGCAUUUUUCCAUGCGAAUGUAGGCAACCCAGUGACUGCACAUGCGCAAGUACACCAGCAGUGCCCUGGGCAUGGCUGAUGCACACCUGCUCCUUGCUCUGCACCUGUGUCUCAGGAAGCCUGGUGCUCUUGGCAGCUGGAACAAAUGGCUCCAGGAUUGUGGUGGUGUAGAGGAGUCCUGUUUAUUAGUGCUCUUUGCACAAUGCAGCAUGAAGAAAGAGCCUGGGCACAACUGGGUAACAAAUAACCAUGGUUAUUAAAUACUUGCUAAUGCAAAAUACAAUUUCUAGUGGCUUUAAAAAGUUAGAAUAUGGUGGAUGAUGUCUGAAGGUUCAAAAAAACCUUAUAAAGGAGUUCUGUACAGUUCAUCUCCUUUCCCUUUAAUGUAAAAUAAUGCACUCAGAGUUUUGAGUUACUGAUGUUGAGAGAUACAUAAUUCAUCACUUGCCAUUCUGUGACACAAUGGUGGAAAACCUAGUGUAGUCUAUUUCAUCUAUUUAUUUUGACAAAGUAAUUUGAACUCUUCAGAUAAGGCUACUUCAUUUCAUUUACAACCAGCACAGAAGUACCAAUCCUUAAAAAUAAAUCCUAAAGGCUUCCACUGUCUGCUUUGAAUUAUUUAAGUUCAUACAGGAUAUAUCAGUCUAUUUACAGCAGAAAUGAACAGCAAGUUCAAACUUAUGUCCCCAGUACUUAGAUUUGCUGCUGCAGAGUACUUGGCUGUUUUGAAGUAUGCAGAAGUUUAAACAAGUUUAAACAUGCACUGUCUUUUCUGGCAGCCUUCACAUUCUUUUACCAUUUGCUGUGUUAGUCUAGUCAGUACAUUUCUCAUUCACUGUGUAAUUUCCUGGUGGGUUUUUUUCUUCCAGUUCCUGAAUUUCUCAGUACCUGAGCAUAACUACAGCUGCUCUUGGACUAAAGCAUUAGAAAACCCUGCUGUAUGCUUAGAAGUUCUUUUCAAGUAAACAAAGCCAAAACCAGUUUUCCUGUCCAUUCAUCCAUCAGUGACAUACGCUUGAGUGGCACUGGACCAUUUAUAGUUCUAAUCAUACUGUAACAUUUGUCAAAAGCAAGGAUUUAGCUGUAAGGCCCCUUUCCAGUACUUACUUGCUAUCUCAAGUAGCAAACAGGUAAGCCAUAUUCAGUCUGUUAUGCUUAGUCCUAGCCCAGGCACCAGGAUGCCGUAAUGAUUUGUUUCACACAACUCAUCUAAAUCCUUACUCUCUUCCCACGUAAAAAAACAGGUUUGUGGUGAUAGAUGUGGGUUGAGGUGGUUUAUCUGUUCCUUUUUAAUUUACUGAAACUUGUGUGACUUUUUACACCCUUUACUCUGAAAGAGUUAACCACAUGUCCAGAGUUUGCUUUUUAGGUGAAUGUUUAGUUUCAUUAUGGUCUUUAGUAAUCGAGCUCAGCCUGUGUGCGUUUCAUCUAGAACAUACUUGAUUGAGAGGCUGGGUUCCCCCCAACAAGGUCAUGAGUCAUCUCUACAGGGAAGAGAGACUUACCUCCCCCCCCUUCUGUUUCACACUCUGCAAUAAGUAGAAGUCUAUAAUUGAAAAACAGAUCCUUUAUUAUGAACAAUGAUCUGUAUUUAAAAGCACCAGUGGUUCUUCUUCAUGACUUUGUUUGAAAAGAAAUACCAGGUGUUCUUCCUAUGGUACUUUGUAGUCUUUAACAAAAAAAAUGUUCACUGGAAAGGAUAUCAGAGGCCAAAGAGAUGUGCUUUGCUACCUCACAAAUCUUAAAACGAUUUUUACAAAAUGUAUAUCCUAAAUGUAAUUUAUUAAAAUACUAACCCUGUGUUUUUCUUCAGUGAUGCUUCUUAAUCUAUCCGUAAAGAACUCAGUCACUGAAAAAUUGUAAAGUUUGUUUUUCAUUUAAACGAAGCAGACUGCUCUGCAGCUGCCUCUUUGGACCAGCUACUGGAUAGCUAUGUAACUACGUGUCUCGUGUAAUUGAGUGCCAGUGCAUUUAUGGAAAUAUUUUUUUUUCCACAAAAAAUAAGAUUUUGUAAGAAUCCCAGGUCUUUCAGACCCAGGUUGUAUUCAUUAUCUCUCUCUAAGAGAAAAUCUGUUCAAACUGUGGUAACUUACAAAGAUGAAAAGUAGCUAAAUGGAUUUUAUGUUGUUGUUGUGGUAGUAACCUGAACUGAGCUGGCUUUGGUGCCCAAUAAAUCCAAAACACAACACUAUACCAGCUACUAGGAAGAAAAUUAACUCUAUCCCAGCCGAAACCAGGACAAAUGUUCACCUGUAGGAAGAACUAGGAAGUAAAUAAAAGGUGAAAUCCAUUGUACUACACUAGACAAAUGCUGCGUUAGGCCAGUUUGAAUUGCUGGUGGUGAAACAGUGCCCCCUGAUGUCCGGCAAGCUGACUUGGAAAUCAGAAAGCUACAUUCCAUAUUCUGGGAUGAACUGAUCAACAACCUUCCAUAAACUAUAGUUAAUAAUAUGCAAAGUUGAGAGCCAAUUAAGUCUGCUAUAUCAUGCAGACAAUUUAGAGUCAGGUAAACAUCUAUUUCCUUAUUGUCACUGGGUUCAGGCACCAACCUUUCCAUGCUGAUGUUUUUCCAUGACGUUUCCAAGUUGAAUCCUUGAGUCACUCCUAUCUCAACCAUCCUACCUCAGGCUGCAGAGUCCUGCAAGGAAGGAAAGGUGAAGUUGCAAACUUCCUUGCAGCUUUUCCUCCCGGCUGCAGUUUCCUCAGCCUGAGUCAAGGUGAGGCAGCUUGUCCAUAUCAGAGCAGAGCCCUGGGUUCUGUGAGGUGAGGGACAGUACCGCAGGGGUUAACAGUCACAGUACCUGUUGAAUAACUUGAUUGUAACAGAUUUUUGGGAGUGAAAAUGAAUGAAAAAUAAAAAUCUUCUAGUAUUUUGUUGCUGAACCACCAGCUCAAAAAUUAAGUAUUUUAGAAAGGGGAGAGCUACAGGAAAAAAACCCAUACAAACCCUGAAAAGCUCUGUGUGGGUGAAGAUCUGCAUUGUAAGCCACUUUUUAUUAAUGAGCCAAGGAAUAAAAAUGUGAAGGUGUGAAGAGCAAGAAAGCAUGUGCUUCACAAUUAUCAUUGCAGUUUUAUGUUUUACAGUAGGGCAAAAAAAUGACAGAAGCUUAUUCCCUAGUCUGAGCGGUUGAGGUGGUUAAGGGGAAGUUUCUGUAAAUUGCCCUUACUUUGUUUUCCACAGUUUUCAAAUGAAUGGUAACUAAUUGAAGAGUGCUUUGAGUUCCUUAGACAAAAAGUAUUAUGCAAAAAUAAAUACCAAUUUAGUUCAGGUGGAAUUACCUUGCAUAUGUGUAUAUGGAGAAGGACCUUCAAAAAACAGACUUUUGCCCCUCUGAUGUGCUUGCUAUUAUCUCUGCUCUGCUGUUUCCCAAUUUCGGCCCAUCCCACACAGAUGUUGUUAGUUAGCACAUUUACUGUCUGAUAGGUUUUUCCUCUCUCUGGAGCAUGCAGCCAGAAACUGGGUAUGACCUUUCCCUGAACACGCUCGCUAACCCUGUGCGCCUAAAUAAAAACAUCUAGCAAAUUAUUAAUGAAAGAUGAGGAAGGAGUAAAAAGGCCUCUGCUCUCAUAGCAAAUGAGGGCAGUUACACUUUAAUUGACCUGUACAGGAGGAACAACGAAAUUGGAGCAUUUCUUGCCAUCUUCCUAGAAUACUUCUUUAGCUCUUGUAACAAGAGACAGUAAGAUUUUAUACCAAAUCUCGCUAGUGAAGGGAGGUUCUCAUUCUUUUUACAUUCCAGUAGCCUUAGAGUAACUGCAUAAUCCUGCACGUAUUAAUUGCUUCUGUGGGAAGCAGUAGCAGGGUAUGGCGUGCCUGUGUUUGUAACGGCUUUUGAAAGGUAUGCCUUCUCCCUCACAUCCUGGGGCUCUGGGGAGCCGCUUAGCCGCCUAAGGAAGCUGCUGGUCGGGCAGCAGAGAGGUUCCAGCCAAGUGGCGGCAGGAGAGACGGGCGGCCGGGCCGCGCGGGGAAGCGCCGCCCUCAGUGCCGGCUGCGGGGCUCGCCGCGCGUCGCCUAGCGCGGGAGAGCGGGGCGCUGGGACAGGCGGACUAGGCCACAGGGCCUUCCUCCGCAGCACCGCCCCCAGCCCGCAUAGCAACAGCCCCGCCCGCCUCUGAUUGGCCGCCCGUCGGGAGGGUAGGGGAGGUAAGAGGGUCCUGCCGCCUGAUUGGCAGGGGUGGCUACCUCGCGCUCUGAUUGGCUGCGAGGGGCGCCAUGUCGCCCUGCGCGGCAAGGGCUGAGGCGUGAGGGAGAGGCUGCUGAGGGGAGUGCGGGGCGGUGCUGCGCCGUGCUGGGUCACCGCGGCGGGCUACCGCGGCCCUGCCGGCUUACCUGCGGGGGGCCAACACAGCGGAACCGUACCCACCAGGGAAGGGCUGUUUUGUUGUUUGUAUGGCAGCAGGCUAAAAGCUGGAGAGCUAGGGAGGCUGCGGUGAGCUGGUCUCCGGCAGCCCCGUGCUCUGUGGAGGGACCUACUGGUGAAAUGAUGAUCUAAUCCAAGACUUCCUUUGGAUGGACAGUUGUUGCAAAAUCGCAGACAAGUAUCUCUUGGCAAUGACUUUCGUUUAUUUCAAGAGGGCUAACCUCACGAUAAAUGAGCAUACCAGAAUCAAUUUCUUUGUCGCUUUGUAAGUACUUUUAAAUCAUCUGGUUUUAUUAGCAUAAACAUUGUAUUAUUUUAUUCCUUGGUUCAUGCCACUGAUAAUUAUGAUAUAUGAUGAGACUUCUUUUACUCUCUGUGUAGUGGUUUGGGUUCUAUCUGAAGUAUAGAAACAUAAUCUACAUACUAUGUACAAAUAGUGCAAAUUUGGCAUUCCUCCCCUGAUGACCGCUUGUGCGGAACAAGCUUGAGCAGCAGUGAGGGUACGUUUGUAUUGGUGUAGUGAUCCAUAGUGUGGCAUUCUGCCUACCCAACUAAAUCUGUGAACUUUUUUUAGUGUUACAAGAAAUAUGUGCAGGACAAUACAUGGCAACAUAUACGUGGCUUACACUCCUUGUUUUAAGACCCUAUUUUAUCUUUGUCAGCAUUUAAGUAAUUUGUACUGAAAUGUUUCAUCAUGAUACGCACCUCGGGAGUAAGUUUUUAUGAUGAUUUAAGUCAACAGUAAAAAUGUAGCUAGAGAAUUUUUGAGAACUUUUUUGAGCAGUUCUGAGAUUUCUGUACCUUGAAACAGAGGUGCAAUCGGUAGUCUGUUUUUACCAAGCCUGUAUACUCUCUCAGUAUUUGGCUAUAACAACAGAGUGUUUUCUUUCAUAGUGUUACGGUGCCCAGGUCACCGUUCUCCGUAAUAGCGCUUCUCAGAUACUCUGAUUUACCCAUUAGCGCGGGGAGAAAGAUGGCUGUUCUGCUCUAAAUGGUAUUCUGGGUAGCAUCCAUAAGAGCACAGAGGAGGAAGCCAGGCCAGAAGAGUGAGAGGAUUAGAAGGGGACAAAGGGUCUGGUGUGACUGGGACUAGAGGGAAUACUGGUGAGUUAGGAGCAAGUGAGAAAACUGGGGAGGAGACUUAAAAGUCAUAGCAUUUUCAGGUAUGAUUUACAGGAGUUUAGGUGGAUCCAGAGGAAGUAUUUUCCUGCUGUGUGAAAAGACAACCCAGAAGCCAAAGUAGCACAUGAUGAGGGAAGGGAGAAAUAUGGACAUGAAAAAUUAAGGUUUUCAUUUAUAUAUGAAAGUAGACCUGUAUUUAGUUGUUUGCUACUAAUUUAAUGUGAGCAACAUAAUUUUCCAAGAAUAGCUAAAAUCCAUAAAGUAGAAAAUGUGAAGUUUAAGAUUUCGUAAGAUAGGUUUUAACCUUUAUUUAGAGAUGCCACUCAGAAACUGUUCAUUUUAGUGCAAGGCUAUCUUGCCAGUUUGGAGAAGGCUAUCAGGAUAUGUUACGUCUUGCGUUAUCAACUCAUUUAGGAGACUCUAGGUUAAAGCAGUUUUUAUAAGAGCUGAAGUUAAAUUUUUAUUUACCCAAAUGAUGCAUAUGGAAAUUUCUGAUUAAGAAAAUGCUGUGCUCCAGGCUGUAUUUGGCUAAUUUUUCUCACAAUACUAGGAAAAAACCCUACUUCAGUAUUAUGCCUUUUAACAUUAGAAAUAAUACUAAUACAGUGAUUUAAGUUUGAAUAAUACUUACGAACACGAGCAUAUGUAUGUUUGAAGGUAUCUGGCAAAUACAGUGGAAGAAGACGAUGAAGAAUCAAAGUAUGACAUUUUCCCAUGGGCUUUGGGAAAAGCCUGGAGAAAGCUCUUCCCUGAUUUCUUAAAAUUAAGAGAUCAACUGUGGAGCAGAAUUGAC